rnacentral:misc_RNA from 1 species
AAAUGCGAUAAGUAAUGUGAAUUGCAGAAUUCAGUGAAUCAUCGAAUCUUUGAACGCACUUUGCGCCCCCUGGUAUUCCGGGGGGCAUGCCUGUUCGAGCGUCAUUUCACCACUCAAGCCUCGCUUGGUAUUGGGCGACGCGGUCCGCCGCGCGCCUCAAAUCGACCGGCUGGGUCUUUCGUCCCCUCAGCGUUGUGGAAACUAUUCGCUAAAGGGUGCCGCGGGAGGCCACGCCGUAAAACAACCCCAUUUCUAAGGUUGACCUCGGAUCAGGUAGGGAUACCCGCUGAACUUAAGC